CUGACUCUUCGCGACCCCAUGGACUGCAGCCUACCAGGCUCCUCCGCCCAAGGGAUUUUCCAGCACAUUUGGAUUUUGUGCUUCAUGAUGCUGCCAAAUGGGGGUCUACUGACUGGGAGAGAAACAGGAAUCUGGAGUCACUGAGCUGGUCAGUCAAGGGAACUGGAGGAAGAGAGGUGGAAAAAUGGCGAACACUGUGGCGCACCGCCCCACCCCUGCAGCCAUGUUUUCCCAUAGGUUUUACGUGAUUUACCCUGGGAGGAAAAGCUGAGUUCCUGGAGCUGUUAUCCUGCACAGGAAAUGAGAGAAACACAAGGCAGAAGGGGUGACUGGGCCUUCAUACAUUUGCUUACAAUCUGGCUCCAGUCCAGGGUGAAACUGGAAGAGCUGGAGAUUUUCCCAAGGCACCCAGGUUGGAGUGCAGUUCAUUCUGGAACCAGGCUCAGGUCUGGGGGAUGGGCAGUAGGUGGUUAUCAGUAUGCAGCAGGGCUGGAUCAAGGUUGUGGAGGUUUCCUGUGCUGAACUAUGCUGUAAUCCUUUCCCUUUAUGUGUUGCAAAAUAAAACGAUAUUAAAUUGCAAAA